rnacentral:rRNA from 1 species
GAGGACGACGCUGGCGGCGUGGAUUAGGCAUGCAAGUCGAACGGUAUCAUCCUUUCGGGGGUGAGAGAGUGGCGAACUGGUGAGUAACACGUAGGUUAUCUACCCUCAAGACGGGGACAACCCAGGGAAACUUGGGCUAAUACCGGAUGUGAGCAACUUUUAGUUGUUUGAAAGGUGGCGUAAGCUGUCGCUUGGGGAUGAGCCUGCGUCCUAUUAGUUAGUUGGUGAGGUAACGGCUCACCUAGGCAAUGAUAGGUAGGCGGCCUUAACGGGUGGUCGCCCACACUGGGAUUGAGAUACGGCCCAGACUCCUACGGGAGGCAGCAGUCGAGAAUAGUCUACAAUGGUCGGAAGACUGAUAGUGCGACGCCGCGUGAACGAUGAAUCCCUUCGGGGUGUAAAGUUCCUUUAUAUGUGAGCAGUGCUUCUUAUAUUAACAGUAUGGGGAGAGAGAUAUUAGCAUAUGAAUAAGCAACGGCUAACUCCGUG